rnacentral:lncRNA from 1 species
UUUUACACCUAACAAUCACUGCUAACUUACAGUAUUUUUUUGUGAGAAGACUAAUAAAAAGCACAGCAAAUUUAUAACACACAUACACACACACUCUGUGAGAAGACUAAUAUAAAGUACAGUAUAGUUAUAACACACGUAUAAACACACAGGCAGUUAGAGGGGAGAACGGCUGUUCAGUUAUACAUUUCAAUCCAAAUCCUCAAAAUAUGUUCUGCCCAAAGUUUGGGAACUUUUAAUAAUUAGUCAAUCAGAUAACAAAUAGGGGGAAGGCAGCUACUUGUGCUGUAGUUGCAACAAUCAAUUCAAGAAGUGAGAAAAACUCAAUUAGCCAACUAGAUUGUGUUCAAUACAUAAUAACUUACCUGAUUUUUCUCCCUGCUGGAAAUGAUAGAGUUAUGGAAACUGCCUCAAAAACUCCGAUUUUAAUUCUCUGGGUUUUUAGACUUUUCUUUGAGAAAUGAGAUAACUGUAUUUGAGUUUGAGUAAUCACUUUUGUAAUGAAUGUCUCUGUUAGUAAAGGGAAAAGAAAUUUUGAUUCAUUGAUUUGUAUAAUUUUGGAGAAGUAAUCUUUUUUCCUUAUACACCUUAAUUAUGAAGACAAAUGAAUAUUUUGUUCAAAUUCAUUGAAUGAUUAAUUACCCUAAUCUUCACCUUAAUUUUCCUAUUAGUGAUUUUUCUUGUUAAUACUCUUAGCAGGAUAAGAUCAUCUUAUAGAAUUAUUGUAGUUGCUGUUCUGGGGAAAAAAGUCUUCCAUAUUCCUUCUGUCUGUAGGAGAUCUCAGGAAAAUCUUCGACAUCAGACUGAGGCCCUGUAUUGCUACAGGUAACACUGUUUCACUCUCAUGAAAAGCAGAUGAAGUGAAGAGAUUCUGACUCUUGUCUGUUUUUAAGUAAGGUGUGGUAGGCAGCCUCCAAGAUGGCUCCGGAUGGUCCCCUUCUUGGUACUCACAUGCUGGUGUAAUCUCCUCCCCUCCAGUUGAGUUUACUGACGAGCCUCAACAAAUAGAAUAUGACCAAUAGAUGGAAUGCCACUCCUGAGAUUAGGUUCCGAAAGAUUGUAGUUGGAAUCUGGAAUUUUAAACAUUUUCCAUUCAAUAUCCCAAAGAACAAGUAAUUUCCAUUAAUUGAAGGCCAUAAAUUUCCAGAUUAAUAGGGCCCACUUCCUAUCUAGCAGAAAGAGGAAAAAAGACCAUACCAAAGCGUAUCAUCAAGAAAAUGCAGAACACUAGCACUAAAGAGAGGAUUCUAAGAGCUUCCUGACAUGAAAAAGCAGCAGGUCACGUAUGCUCAGGAAUUAUAAAGGCAUCAAGCUUCUGAGUGGCAAUACUGGCAGGUAGAAGACAAUAGAGAAAUGCUUCAUAGUCCUGAGGAAAUGAAUUCUAACUGGAAUUAUGUUCUCAACUCAACUAUAAAUCAAGUCUGAGGGUGGAAUAACAAUAUUCUCAGAUGUGCAAGAUGUCAACAUAUUCAUUGCCCACGGCCUCUCGCUCAGUGCAUAGGCGCAGAUAAGAGAAUCAAUGAAAAAGCCUGAGAUCCAGGAAACAGAGGGUUCCCAGGAGGAGAGAGAGACGACAAAGAAAAGAAGGCCCAUUAUGCCUGCUAUGCAGCUGGCCAAGGGGAACCCAGUCCACACUGGAGCCAGUGACAGGCUUCAUAGAGAAGUCCCCAAGGAAAACAGUAGAUCAGUAUUUUUAUAACAUCUGCAAGCUACUUUUAACUGCUCUGCUGUCCCAACCCAGUGUCCCAGAUGCAGAAUGCAUGUGUCUUUCUGGAAGCACACUCAGAGGCCAUCUCAAACAUGCAGAAGGAUUUAGAAACAUUCAGAACCAUCAUCUCAGACUUCAAAUUUGGAAUUUGAUAAACCUCCCCAUGAUGGCCAUUUAUGAUAUUUCUCGUCAAAAUUCCUUCUUCUGGGAAAUGCGUACCCAUCUCUUAGCCUGCAUCCUAGUCCAUGUGUUUGUAGAUAGAUUUUUCAUAAUUUAGUGUAAACCUAACACCAACUCUCCAUCAAACAUCAGUCACAAGGGUUGAGUUCAGAUUUGAGUAGAUGCUUUGCUCUCUUAGUAGGCACCGGUAAAUCUUUGUAGAAAUGCUUGUACU